GCAAGGAAGGCCUCAGUCAGUAGAACAUGAGACUCUUAAUCUCAGGGUUGUGGGUUUGAGCCCCAUGCUGGGCA